rnacentral:rRNA from 1 species
CCUACGGGAGGCAGCAGUGGGGAAUAUUGCACAAUGGGGGAAACCCUGAUGCAGCAACGCCGCGUGAAGGAUGACGGUUUUCGGAUUGUAAACUUCUUUUCUUAGUGACGAAGACAGUGACGGUAGCUAAGGAAUAAGCAUCGGCUAACUACGUGCCAGCAGCCGCGGUAAUACGUAGGAUGCAAGCGUUAUCCGGAUUUACUGGGUGUAAAGGGAGCGCAGGCGGGACUGCAAGUUGGAUGUGAAAUACCGUGGCUUAACCACGGAACUGCAUCCAAAACUGUAGUUCUUGAGUGAAGUAGAGGCAAGCGGAAUUCCGAGUGUAGCGGUGAAAUGCGUAGAUAUUCGGAGGAACACCAGUGGCGAAGGCGGCUUGCUGGGCUUUAACUGACGCUGAGGCUCGAAAGUGUGGGGAGCAAACAGGAUUAGAUACCCUGGUAGUCCACACUGUAAACGAUGAUAGCUAGGUGUGGGGGGUCUGACCCCUUCCGUGCCGGAGUUAACGCAAUAAGCUAUCCACCUGGGGAGUACGACCGCAAGGUUGAAACUCAAAGGAAUUGACGGGGGCCCGCACAAGCAGUGGAGUAUGUGGUUUAAUUCGACGCAACGCGAAGAACCUUACCAAGUCUUGACAUCCCUUGACAGGCAUAGAAAUAUGUUUUCUCUUCGGAGCAAGGAGACAGGUGGUGCAUGGUUGUCGUCAGCUCGUGUCGUGAGAUGUUGGGUUAAGUCCCGCAACGAGCGCAACCCCUAUUGUUAGUUGCUACGCAAGAGCACUCUAGCGAGACUGCCGUUGACAAAACGGAGGAAGGUGGGGACGACGUCAAAUCAUCAUGCCCCUUAUGACCUGGGCUACACACGUACUACAAUGGAUGUUAACAGAGGGAAGCAAGACAGCGAUGUGGAGCAAACCCCUAAAAACAUUCUCAGUUCAGAUUGCAGGCUGCAACCCGCCUGCAUGAAGUUGGAAUUGCUAGUAAUCGCGGAUCAGCAUGCCGCGGUGAAUACGUUCCCGGGCCUUGUACACACCGCCCGUCACACCAUGAGAGCCGGGGGGACCCGAAGUCGGUAGUCUAACCGCAAGGAGGACGCCGCCGAAGGUAAAACUGGUGAUUGGGGUGAAGUCGUAACAAGGUAGCCGUAGGAGAACCUGCGGCUG